CCUACGGGUGGCAGCAGUGGGGAAUAUUGGACAAUGGGGGGAACCCUGAUCCAGCCAUGCCGCGUGUGUGAAGAAGGCCCUCGGGUUGUAAAGCACUUUCAGUGAGGAAGAACGCCUGGUGGUUAAUACCCAUCAGGAAAGACAUCACUCACAGAAGAAGCACCGGCUAACUCCGUGCCAGCAGCCGCGGUAAUACGGAGGGUGCGAGCGUUAAUCGGAAUUACUGGGCGUAAAGCGCGCGUAGGUGGCUUGAUAAGCCGGUUGUGAAAGCCCCGGGCUCAACCUGGGAACGGCAUCCGGAACUGUCAAGCUAGAGUGCAGGAGAGGAAGGUAGAAUUCCCGGUGUAGCGGUGAAAUGCGUAGAGAUCGGGAGGAAUACCAGUGGCGAAGGCGGCCUUCUGGACUGACACUGACACUGAGGAGCGAAAGCGUGGGUAGCAAACAGGAUUAGAUACCCUAGUAGUC
rnacentral:rRNA from 1 species